rnacentral:rRNA from 1 species
AACGAACGCUGGCGGCAUGCCUAACACAUGCAAGUCGAACGCCCUAGCAAUAGGGAGUGGCAGACGGGUGAGUAACACGUGGGAACCUUCCCAAUAGUACGGAAUAGCCCAGGGAAACUUGGAGUAAUACCGUAUACGCCCGAAAGGGGAAAGAUUUAUCGCUAUUGGAUGGGCCCGCGUCGGAUUAGCUAGUUGGUGAGGUAACGGCUCACCAAGGCGACGAUCCGUAGCUGGUUUGAGAGAACGACCAGCCACACUGGGACUGAGACACGGCCCAGACUCCGACGGGAGGCAGCAGUGGGGAAUCUUUGACAAUGGGCGCAAGCCUGAUCCAGCCAUGCCGCGUGAGUGACGAAGGUCUUCGGAUUGUAAAGCUCUUUUGGCGGGGACGAUAAUGACGGUACCCGCAGAAUAAGCCCCGGCUAACUUCGUGCCAGCAGCCGCGGUAACAC